UCUCUGUUAGUAUAUCGGUUAGUACACGCGCCUGUCAAGUUUCAUUUGGCCGCGCGAAAGCGGGGUUCGACUCCCCGACAGAGAG
rnacentral:tRNA from 1 species